rnacentral:rRNA from 1 species
GACGAACGCUGGCGGCGUGCCUAAUACAUGCAAGUAGAACGAUGAAGGAGGAGCUUGCUCUUCUGGAUGAGUUGCGCACGGGUGAGUAACGCGUAGGUAACCUGCCUGGUAGCGGGGGAUAACUCUUGGAAACGAUAGCUAAUACCGCAUAAGAGUAGAUGUUGCAUGACAUUUACUUAAAAGGUGCAAUUUCAUCACUACCAGAUGGACCUGCGUGGUAUUACCAAGUUGGUGGGGUAAGGGCUUACUAAGGCGACGAUGCAAAGCCGCCCGGAGAGGGGGACGGCCAACCUUGGAACGGGACCAGGCCCAGGAUCCUACGGGAGGGCGCAGUAGGGAAACUUCGGGAAUGGGGGGAAGUCUGACCGAGCAAAGCCGGGGGAGGGGAGGAGGGUUUCGGAACGUAAAGCUCCUUUGUAAGGGAAGAACGAGUGGGGGAGUGGAAAGUGCACACUGUGACGGUAUCUUACCAGAAAGGGACGGCUAACUACGUG